rnacentral:lncRNA from 1 species
CAAGGAUUCAACUGGGGAUAUGAAAAUAAUAAUGCUUUAUACCAGCAAAUCACCUGCAACUUUGACAAUAACAUGCAACAGGGAAAUAACUCACUGGGAAGUGGUCAAAAGAUACGACCAGGGUUGGAGAUUGGUCCUACAGCCUCAAGCAUAGGAGGCAAACACUCGGGCUCCGAGGUACAGCAUCAGCCCUCAAGCUCAGCUCUUUACACGGGUAUUGUGAGUGUGAACUUGCAUCCUCAUCCUCGUGUUUGUGCAACCAGCUCUCCAGGUUCUCGUGCUCCACAGUUUGGAAUGCAAAGGGCUCUCUCGGCAGUGGAUUUUCCUGAAAGGCUAAUUUGGUUUCUGUAUUGGAAGCAGUA